rnacentral:sRNA from 1 species
GAUUUCAGCAAGCUUCACAUUUUGGGGGCAGGCAGGGGAAGAAUUCAGGAAGAAGAGAAACAGGGUAUUCUAGUGAGACAAGCCAAUGCUGACUGUUUAAGAGAUUUAGGAUUGAAAUCUGCUUUUGAACUCGCAUUCCGGCAGUCCUCUUUGGUGUUCUCACCAAGGGCAAAAGGACUCAAAUCCUCAGCAGAGGGCAGAAGGUGGCCUCUCUUCUGGCAAAACAUGCAAAUCGCCAUCGCUCGCGAGGGUGACCUCCUGACCAAGGAGCGGCUAUGCUGUGGCCUGUCCAUGUUCGAGGUCAUCCUGACCCGCAUUCGGAGCUACCUGCAGGACCCCAUCUGGCGGGGCCCACCGCCCACCAAUGGCGUCAUGCACGUCGAUGAGUGUGUGGAGUUCCACCGGCUGUGGAGCGCCAUGCAGUUCGUCUACUGCAUCCCUGUGGGAACCAACGAGUUCACAGCUGAGUGAGUACCCCCCAGAAAAGGAAGGGUUACCCCUAACCUGCCUGUACUCCUGCAAAUCAUGGGGCUGCCAGAGUUCAGCCAGAAACGUGGGCAGGGGGUAGGGGUGGUUGGCCAA